rnacentral:lncRNA from 1 species
UCUCACAAAACUUAGUAUAAAAACAGAUUUACGUGUAAAAAUGUUUGUUUGUUCUUGUAUGUGAAAGUGACUUCUUGAAAAUAGUGUUUCUAGUAUGUAAAAGUUCGUAAUGUUCUCGUAAAACUAUACCUAUUAUAGUUUUCUAUAAGUGUGUCUCGUUUGUAUAGUAAUCCCUAGUAAAAUGUUCACUUGUUAUGAAAAGUAUAAUUUUUAUAGAGUCUAAGAUGGACACAUAUACAUACAGUAUAAGCAAAGUGUUUGAUUUAUACAUAUAUAACAACAUUUUUCAUUUCAAAAUAUAUGAUGUUAUCGUGAUAUAUUUUGCAUACGAAAGUUUCCCUAUUAUAGUUAUAAAUCACAUAUGAUUUCGUUGAUAAAAAGGUGUAUAAUGAAACUUUAUAUAACAUACGAUAAUAAUCGUGUGUUUUACUUGUAUUUGCCCCCAUAAAACCAUAUAAAAGCAAUUAUAAAACAUUUAAAAGUGUGGAUUAUAAUGAACUCACNAGUGUGGAUUAUAAGGGUAUGAACUCACUUGAAAGAUCGGAAAAGGCGAGAUGAAAACCGAACAGAAUUUCGACUCGAGAAAGCGGACUUUCUCGGGAUUCUCGGGAAUCUCGGGAGCACAAACGACCUUCGGGACUUGAGCAAGGAAACUGGGGUUUCGGGAUAGUAUGUGCACGGAAAACGAGGUAAAAAUGCAAGAAAGAUGAGAGGAAUUGGCCCUUUUCUUCGGAACCCUCGCAUCUCUUUUACAGGGGGUGGGAACCGCCUCGGUACGCCGGGUGUGCGCGUGCGUCAUGCGUGACUGCAUCCUCGACUGCUUCGGAACUUCGGAUGGGACGGGGCAUAGCCUCGCAUAGGGGCGACGUGGAUGAUCCGAGGCCUAGGCCUCGAGUACACUGGGUGUAACUCGGAUCGACCUGGUUACUCGUCCUUCGGAUAAUACCAAGAUUAAAUAAUAAAAUUUAUAUUUUAAUUAUUUAAUAAACAUCAAAAAUUCAUAUCUUCUUCAUACGAACUCCGUUUUCGACGUUCUUUAUAUCCACGCGUAGGUGAGACUACGCUCUACAACUUUCGUUUAGAUCCCGUCAGCAAAUUUUGAAAUUAUUUUUAUUAUUUAUUUUUAAAAGGUCGUGGUAAGAAAAUUUCGUUAGAAAUUCAUAACUUCAUUAUCUGACGUCUGUUUUUGCCAGACUUUUUACCGUUGUAAUACCAUUGUCGAGACCUUCGAUUCUCAAUUAGGUCAUUCCGGCCAAAAGUCGCUCGAACUCUGAUUCGAGUUUUUAGCUGUUUGUCGUUAAGCCGAACAUGGAAAAAUCAUAACUUCAUUAUACGAAGUCAGAUUUGGGCGUUCUUUUUACGUACGAUCACNAUCACGGUUUAAUGACAUUAAACAUAGUAGGAAUUUAAAUAGAAACAUUUUGGACAUUUUAUUAUCAAAGUUAAUUUUAUUAACUCAGAGGUGGUUACAAUACUUGACUUUUUAGGUCAUUACAUAGAGUUGAAAUAUCGGGUUGUCACUUCAUCCCCCCGUUAGAGGGAAUGUCGUCCCGAAAUUUAAAGUAAGAAAGAUACUUAUGAAUCAGAGAAAAAGAUGAGGGUACUUUUGUUUCAUCUGAUCUUCGCGUUCCCAUUCGAAUUCAGGUCCUCGCUUGGCGUUCCAGCGAACCUUCAUGAUGGGUAUGCGACUUUGUUUCGUUUGUUUGACCUCUCGGUCCAUGAUUUCUACCGGUUCUUCCACAAAGUUGAGGCUGUCGUUGAUCUCGAUCUUGUCGAGUGGAAUAACAAGAGUCUCAUUGGACAGAAACUUUUUCAAGUUCAAGACAUGGAAGGUUGGAUGUAUGUUACUAAGUACACGUGGUAGAUUAAACUUGUAAGCUACAGGGCAGAUUCUGGCGAGAAUCUCGAAAGGCCCUACGUAUCUUGGAUUUAGCUUUCGACGCUUUCCAAAGCGUAUUAAGCCUUUCCACGGUGAGACCUUCAAUAGAACACGGUCUCCUACCUGGAAUUCCAAAGGUUUCCUCCUUUGGUCAGCGUAGCUUUUCUGUCGGUCUCUAGAGGCUUUCAACCAUUCACGAAUCUGAAUGAUCUUCUCUGUCGUUUCCCAUAUGAUUUCUGGACCGGUGAGAGUGCUUUCAGGAACUCGUCCUUUAGCUAACUGUGUGUCUCCAACUUCAGCCCAACACAGAGGGGACCUGCACUUACGGCCAUAGAGGGCUUCAAAUGGAGCAACCUUUAUGCUCGUAUGAUAACUAUUGUUGUAUGAAAAUUAGACAAGGGGUAAAUGGAUAUCCCAUGCCUUUCCAAAGUCAAUCACACAGGCUCUCAGCAUAUCUUCUAAGGUUUGAAUCAUUCUUUCACUUUGCCCGUCUGUUUGUGGUUGGUAGGCUGUACUCAUGUCUAGCCUAGUCCCCAGGGAACUUUGUAGUGACUGCCAGAACCUUGACGAGAAUCUACUAUCUAUAUCGGAGAUAAUGGAUAUCGGAACACCAUGCAGUCGCACUAUUUCCCUUAUGUAAGUUCUUGUAAGCCUUUCCAUCUUGUCAGUCUCCUUGAUUGGUAGAAAAUGCAUAGAUUUGGUCAAGCUGUCGAUGAUGACCCAUAUGGUAUCGAGUCCACCCGUCGUCUUGGGCAACUUGGUUAUGAAGUCCAUAGUAAUCCGUUCCCAUUUCCAUUCCGGUAUCUCCGGUUGUUCUAGUAAUCCUGACGGUUUCUGAUACUCGAUCUUAACCUUAGCGCAAGUAAGGCAUUUACUUAUGAAGGUAGCAAUUUCUGCUUUCAUGUUAUGCCACCAGUACAGUUUCUUAAGAUCCAGAUACAUUUUAUCUGAACCUGGGUGAACAAAAUAUCUCGUGUUGUGUGCUUCGGCCAUGACUACGUCUCUGAAAUCACCAUGUUUUGGUGUCCAGAUACGGUCCAUGAGAUAAUAUGCUCCGCCACCCUUGAUUUCUAGAUUCUUUUCCAUUCCUCUCAGGGAUUCACCCACCACAUUUUCAGGUUGCAAAACAUCCAGUUGAGCCUCCUUAAUUUGUGUGGAUAAGUGGGAAUGGAUAGUCAUAGUCAGAGAUUUGACUCUCCGACCAGUGUAUUCUUUUCGACGGAGGGCGUCAGCUACCACAUUGGCCUUGCCAGGAUGAUAACGAAUUUCACAUUCGUUGUCAUUGAGUAGCUCGACCCAUCGUCGCUGUCGCAUGUUGAGCUCCUUUUGAUCAAAAAUGUGUUGAAGCCUCUUGUGGUCAGUGAAGAUAGUACUCUUUGUUUCGUACAAGUAGUGUCUCCAGAUCUUCAGAGCAAAUACCACUGCUCGUGACUCAAGAUCGUGUGUUGUAUAGUUUACUUCGUGUAUCUUAAGCUGACGGGAGGCAUAAGCAAUAACCUUCCCUCUUUGCAUAAGAACACAACCAAUUCCUUGGUUUGAUGCAUCACAAUACACUACGAAAUGUUCUAUCCCUUCGGGGAGGGAUAGUAUCGGUGCGGUGCACAAAGCCUGUUUCAGCGUUUGGAACGUCUUCUCUUGUUUUGCUUCCCAGUCAAAGGCCACGCCUUUCUGGGUCAAUGUAGUAAGAGGUUUCGCAAUGCUAGAGAAGUUCUUUAUGAAUCUGCGAUAAUAGCCAGCGAGACCUAGAAAUUGACGAAUCUCUGUAGGUGUCUUUGGUGCCGACCAGUUCUCAAUGGCCUUAAUUUUGGAGGGGUGCACGUGUAUCCUCUUCUCACUAACAUCGUGGCCCAAAAAUUCGACUCUUCGAAACCAAAAUUCACAUUUAGAGAACUUCACAUAGAGCUUCUCCGAUCGUAAUGUCUCUAAAACUUUUCGUAGGUGCUGACUAUGCUCUUCCUUACUUUGGGAGUAGAUAAUUAUAUCAUCGAUGAAGACGAUGACGAACUGAUCCAAGUAAGGACGGCACACCCUAUUCAUUAGGUCCAUGAAUACCGCUGGUGCGUUGGUUAAUCCGAACGGCAUCACUACAAAUUCGUAGUGUCCAUAACGGGUUCAGAAGGCUGUCUUGGGAAUAUCCUCCUCUAGUACUCGUAAUUGGUGAUAUCCGGAUCGUAGAUCUAUCUUCGAGAAGUAGUUUUCUCCUUGAAGUUGAUCAAAUAGGUCGUCAAUGCGGGGCAGAGGAUAACGAUUUUUGAGAGUAAGUUUGUUCAGUUCUCUGUAGUCAAUGCACAUACGGAACGAUCCGUCUUUCUUCUUUACAAACAAGACCGGUGCUCCCCAAGGUGAGAAACUUGGUCUAAUGAAUCCUUUUUGAUGGAGUUCGUUAAGCUGACUGGAAAGUUCUUGCAUCUCUGCUGGUGCCAGACGAUAAGGCGAUUUUGCUACUGGGGUAGCCCCUAGAACUAAGUCGAUUCUGAACUCGACUUGGCGUUGUGGUUGUAAUCCCGAUAGUUCUUCUGGAAAGAUAUCAGGAAAGUUGCGUACUUCUGGAAUGCUCUUAAUGUCCUUUACUUCCUGACUUGUAUCGACGAUGUGUGCAAGAAAUGCAUGAAAAUCCUUCCGCAAACACUUUCGAGCUUGGAUGCACAAAUUGAUGCGAAGGUUUGUACUUGAUUGUCGCCGUAAAUCACUAAUGUUUUGUCGUUAGGGAGAUUCAGACGAACUGCUUUCUCAAAGCCCAAGAUGUCGGCGCAAAGAAGACUUAACCAAUCCAUGCCGACUAUGAUGUCGAAACUUUUAAUUUGGACCAGCAUGAGGUUGAUUGGGAAAGAAUGACCGUCUAAAGUUAAUGUACAACCCAUGUAUAUGCAGUUAGUGUUUUCCGUUUUUCCGUUUGCCAUUUCUAUAGUGAAUGAUUUUUCUAACUUGCUAGGUUUAUGUUUAAGUAAGUGAAUAAAGUUUUGACUCACAAAGCUUCUCUCUGCUCCACUAUCGAACAGUAUGCAUGCAUAUGAAUUAUCGAGAAGAAACGUACCAGCAACUACUGUAGGAUCAGCUACGGCUUCUUUGUGGCCUAUAGCCAACACUCGUCCCACCCCGCCGGUAUUCGCUGCCUUAGGGCAGUUUCUCUUGUAGUGGCCCACCUCGCCACAACCGUAGCAAGCUUGGCCUACACCAGCGUUGGGAACUUGAGUGCUCGGCUUUACGGGGGCUCUGCAGAAACGGACAGUGUGUCCCUUUCUGUUGCAGUUGGAGCACUGCAUUUCCCGACAAGGUCCAUUGUGGUGGUAAGUGCAUUUGGUGCACUUUGGAAAGUUACCCGCAUAAGGCUUUGUUGGGUAUGGAUUUGUAGGAACGGUAGUAGGUACAGUAGCAACAUUCACUGUAACUAGUUGUUGUUUCUUCGAGGAUUCUUGGGAAGACCCACCCUUCCCUUUAUUCCAUCCUCUCUUCCUGUUAUUGUUGUUGUUGUUUCCCUUUUGUGGUUCUGGUGUAGAAAUUGUCGAGUUCUGAUGACUUCCGUGAUCAAUAAGAGAUUGUGCCAGCUCUUUGGCACUUUCAAAAGUGUCAGGUUUUGAAGCUAACACGCUCGACUGAAUUUGGGGCGACAGUCCCCAAAUGUAUCUCUCUAUUUUCUUGCUCUCAGGAGCAAUCAUAUCUGGGCAAAGGAUUGCCAGAUCGCAGAAUCUGUUGGUAUAAGUUGCUAUGUCGGUACCAAUCAUUCCAAGAGUCCAGAGUUCGUGCUCGAGUUUUUGAAUCUCUCCUCGUGGACAAUACUCUCUCAUCAGCAUGAUUUUUAAGCUCUCCCAGCUUAUUGAAUUCGCCACUAUCAGAGUAAGUACCUUAACGUGGCCAUUCCACCAAGUUAAAGCUCUAUCGGUAAGCAUGUAGGUUGCAAACUUGACUUUGCUGUGCUCGGGACAGGAGCAGAUUUCAAAGACUGAUUCUGUCCUUUCGAUCCACUGCCUCAGAAUCAUCACACCACCAGUUCCAUUAAACAUCCGGGGUUUGGCGUUCGUAAAGUCCUUAUAGGUGCAUUCUCGGGGUUGCCCAUGACUCUCGCCAUGGUUGGAAGGAAGUGUGCCAGUUCUCGAGCCAGUAGUAACAGGGGUAUUGAUCUGUGACAUGGCAGCCGCUACAGCUGCGAUGACUGCUGCUUGGAACAUGGCAGCAUCAAAUUGAGGAGGUGGAGGCGGUGGUGGUAUAGGUGCUUCCCCACCGUUGUUUCGUCUCGGGUUUCUACGCGUAGGCAUCCUUCAACUAUAGGCUGAAAAGAUAAAGAUAAGAAUUCCAUAGCAUAGAAAAUGAAUAUGUCUCAUGAACUAAAUCGCUAUAGUUCAACAACAGAUGAUAGUAUGAGUCUCAAAGAUAGAAGAAUGAAAGUUAUUCGUAAGACCAAAUAUAUGAAAAAAGCAUAUGGUUUCUCCAUAUGAUUUUAAGGAUUGAACGUAAUACUCAACGUAGUAAUAUCAGUUGCCACUUAUNACAACGAUCACGGAAAUUUGACCCCUAUAAGGGUCUCCGGUUACAAAGUUUAAGAAAAUAAAAACUUUUAACCGAGGUCCUAACUUAUAACAAAAUUUGGGAUUUUGGCAAGCACUACUUGUGACGUAGGUUGCGCUUGGAGCUUGACUCCGCAUCCGAUUGUUGUUCCCUCAAUUCGGUGAGGGGUGCAAUCAUUUGCGCUUGGAAUGCCUCGGUUUGGAGUUGGGUAUUGUCCUAAGCUCUGUCCAGCCUACGGAUGUCGGAAGUGUGAACCUGUACUUCCACGUUGACUUCCCGAAUCCGGCUAGCUUGAACUCCGGAUUGGUAGGACUGGUUGGCUAGCUUGCCUACCAUAAUUGGGAGUGCUUGAUCGGCUGAACCUCCACUGCAGACAUCGUAGAAGUCUUGGCCCAUGCCGUAGGGAGGGCGUAGACUUUGUUGUUGGCUCCAAUGGUGGAGGUGACUUCCCCAAACGGGAGUCGGUCCUUGAAAGUUUCUCACGAAGACUGGAGGCUGUGCGGGUGGUGGGUUGAUCACUUCAGGCUCUGAGUCGGUACCGGAGUCAUCCUCUUCAUCCAAUUCUAUGAGUUCUUCGUCCUCCUCGGGAUCCUCUUUGAUCCAUCCCCCGUUGCCCUGGUUGGGAUAGUAGGGGUCGCCGGGGUGAUGAAAUCCAGCCAUUUGAGUGUAUGAGAAUAGGGUUAUAAGAAUUGAAUAAAAUUUGGAACAUGUAAGACUAAACAUGUAAGUUAAGCUAUUUUAUGUAGCAAAUACUCCUAUAGUAUUUAAAUUCGUGUGUUUGAUCCUUGUGAUGCUUUGGUAAAUUUUGACUUGUUGCUCACUACGAGCAUUCCUCGAUAUACAUUGGUCCGAUCUUGGGUAAAUUUUGACUUGUCUAAAUACUUGUUGUAUAGCUAUAAUCAUGAAAAUAAGUUGUUGUAUGCAUGUAUUUGUACUUAAAUGAACUAAUAAUUUAAGUUAAACGAAACGCGGCUUAGGCGUAAAAUAAAAAAAAUGUUUUGUCAAAGAGUAUUAGUCCCUUAAGAAUUUAUAGUUUAUAUAUCUUAUUUGGUUCGAUAUACUUAGUUCACUAUAAACAUUGCUCUGAUACCAAUCUGUCACACCCCCAAACAGGAACAACGGAAAGGUUCGGGGGCGGAUGACUUCAUGUGGUUACGUAAAAAAUGAAUACAUAGUAAAGAAAGCAAUACAACCAUCAUAUAUAUAAUUGAAAGUUUACAUUAUUAAAAGGUACAUGUUCAAACCAAUUACAAUAUGAUGCCAAAAUAUGAAUUUAAACUGGCGCCGCAGCGUCCCUUCUUCAAAAGCUGUGUGUACUCGAACGUACGUGAAGUUAAUGUCUCACAAAACUUAGUAUAAAAACAGAUUUACGUGUAAAAAUGUUCGUUUGUUCUUGUAUGUGAAAGUGACUUCUUGAAAAUAGUGUUUCUAGUAUGUAAAAGAUCGUAAUGUUCUCGUAAAACUAUACCUAUUAUAGUUUUCUAUAAGUGCGUCUCGUUUGUAUAGUAAUCCCUAGUAAAAUGCUCACUUGUUAUGAAAAGUAUAAUUUUUAUAGUGUCUAAGAUGGACACAUAUAC